rnacentral:lncRNA from 10 species
CCGCCUUGCAGUUUGACCUCAGACUGCUGUGCUAGCAGUCAGCGAGACUCCGUGGGCGUAGGACUUUCUGAGCCAGGUGCGGGAUAUAAUCUGCUGGUGUGCCGUUUUUUAAACCCAUCGGAAAAGCGCAGUAUUCAGGUGGGAGUGACCCGAUUUUCCAGGUGCCGUUUGUCACCACUUUCCUUGACUAGGAAAGGGAACUCCCUGACCCCUUGCACUUCUUGAGUGAGGCAAUGCCUCGCCCUGCUUUGGCUCGUGCACAGUGCGUGCACUCACUGACCUGCGCCCACUGUCUGGCACUCGCUAGUGAGAUGAACCCGGUACCUCAGAUGGAAAUGCAGAAAUCACCCGUCUUCUGCGUCGCUUAGGCUGGGAGCUGUAGACCGGAGCUGUUCCUAUUCGGCCAUCUUGGCUCCUAAAUCUGACAUCCUAAGGAACAUUAUCUUUUGAGGGCACAAUCUUUCACUUGCAUCCUCUAUGGUAAUGCACCUAAAUCUGGAUCCAAGAUCUUAUAAAUACACCAGGGAUUCAGUCUAGGUUCUGAUGCUCACUUCACCAUCAUUGAGAUGAAGAAUAUUGCCAGAUGUGGAACCUGCAGAUGCAGGGGGCUGACUUAAGAGACGAGGAUCCACAGACGCUGACAUCCAUGAGUCCUUUCAACUUGCAAGACUAAAACUCUGUACCAAUUAAAUAACAACUGCCCAUUUUCAACUCCCACCAUCCUCUGGAAACCACCAUUCUGUUUUAUUUCUCUGCGAUUAAACUGUGUGGUCCUUGGACCAGCAACAUCAGUAUCUAUAUCACCUGAGAGCUUGUUAAACAUUCAGAAAUUGGGAGCCCACGCAACAUCUACAGAAUCAGAAUCUACAUUUCUACAAGAUACUCUGGAAUUCAUACCUAAAUUUUGUGGUUUGAGAAGUCCUGUAGUGCAGGCUACAUCACCAGGACUUGAAGGACAGCAGCACAUCUUUGCUCAAAGUUAACUUUCCUGGACUAAAAGUUUAAACUCUGACAUCCCUACAAUGGGCACACCCAACUCAAGUCUUCUUUCUUGGGAAUGCACUGUCUCAGUGAUUGGCUUCCUGUGUGGUGAGCGGCAGGACCUAGACCAUAACUCCUGAUGUUUUGGAAACAGAAUGACUGAGGAUUCCCAAAAUAUAUUAACGACCAGCCACAGAUUCCAGAAACACGGACAAGCAAAAGGUAGAAUAAGUUUUUUUUCUCUACUUCUCAUAUUAUUCUUUCUCUCCCUUCCCAAUGUUUUUGUUAUAUCAUUUUAUUUUGUCUGAGAAUAUAACUCUUAUGUUGUAUUCUGCAAACAAAAUCACAACGUUUUUGUCUCACUCCUUGAGUUAAGUAAACUACCUACUUACGACCAGUCUUUUUUUUUUUUUUUUUUUUUUGAGGCGGACUCUUGCUCUGUUGCCAAGGCUGGAGUGAGUGGUGUGAUCUCAGCUCACUGCAGCCUCCACCUCCCAGGUUCAAGUGAUUCUCCUACCUCAGCCUCCCAAGUAGCUGGGAUUUCAGGUCCCUGCCACCAUGCCU